rnacentral:rRNA from 1 species
UACAGAGGUCUCAAGCGUUGUUCGGAUUCAUUGGGCGUAAAGGGUGCGUAGGCGGCGCGGUAAGUCGGGUGUGAAAUCUUGGAGCUUAACUCUGAAACUGCAUUCGAUACUGCCGUGCUUGAGGACUGGAGAGGAGACUGGAAUUUACGGUGUAGCGGUGAAAUGCGUAGAUAUCAAGCGGAACACCGGUGGCGAAGGCGGCCUUCUGGACAGUGACUGACGCUGAGACGCGAAAGCGUGGGGAGCAAACAGG